CCUACGGGGGACUGCAGUGGGGAAUAUUGGACAAUGGGGGGAACCCUGAUCCAGCCAUGCCGCGUGUGUGAAGAAGGCCCUCGGGUUGUAAAGCACUUUCAGUGAGGAAGAACGCCUGGUGGUUAAUACCCAUCAGGAAAGACAUCACUCACAGAAGAAGCACCGGCUAACUCCGUGCCAGCAGCCGCGGUAAUACGGAGGGUGCGAGCGUUAAUCGGAAUUACUGGGCGUAAAGCGCGCGUAGGUGGCUUGAUAAGCCGGUUGUGAAAGCCCCGGGCUCAACCUGGGAACGGCAUCCGGAACUGUCAAGCUAGAGUGCAGGAGAGGAAGGUAGAAUUCCCGGUGUAGCGGUGAAAUGCGUAGAGAUCGGGAGGAAUACCAGUGGCGAAGGCGGCCUUCUGGACUGACACUGACACUGAGGUGCGAAAGCGUGGGUAGCAAACAGGAUUAGAUACCCCAGUAGUC
rnacentral:rRNA from 1 species